rnacentral:lncRNA from 1 species
UGACAGCCUCCAGGUAGUAGUGACUUCAAGAUCUUUCUCAGCAUUCAAGUGAAGGUAGAAGGACAUGACAAGAUGACCAACUAGAAGGAGCUGCAGUUGGAGCGUCCCACCAAAACAAACCAAAUGGGGCUGGCAUUUCUUUUCCUGGGACAGUGGAGGACAACUUACUUUGAAAAUGUGAUGGGAGUUGACAAAAGAGGGAAUAAAUAAAAGAUUCUCUAUCAAGAACCUUGCUUAGUGGUGUUUAUUUAUUCCAAUGCUUAGACAAUGGAAGUUAACUACA